rnacentral:rRNA from 1 species
UUGGGCGUAAAGCGAGCGCAGGCGGUUAGAUAAGUCUGAAGUUAAAGGCUGUGGCUUAACCAUAGUACGCUUUGGAAACUGUUUAACUUGAGUGCAGAAGGGGAGAGUGGAAUUCCAUGUGUAGCGGUGAAAUGCGUAGAUAUAUGGAGGAACACCGGUGGCGAAAGCGGCUCUCUGGUCUGUAACUGACGCUGAGGCUCGAAAGCGUGGGGAGCGAACAGGAUUAGAUACCCUGGUAGUCCACGCCGUAAACGAUGAGUGCUAGGUGUUAGGCCCUUUCCGGGGCUUAGUGCCGCAGCUAACGCAUUAAGCACUCCGCCUGGGGAGUACGACCGCAAGGUUGAAACUCAAAGGAAUUGACGGGGGCCCGCACAAGCGGUGGAGCAUGUGGUUUAAUUCGAAGCAACGCGAAGAACCUUACCAGGUCUUGACAUCCCGAUGCCCGCUCUAGAGAUAGAGUUUUACUUCGGUACAUCGGUGACAGGUGGUGCAUGGUUGUCGUCAGCUCGUGUCGUGA